GAAUGGUCAAAAUCCAAAUAUUUAGAGUAACUAUCAAAAACCUUGGUUACUUUCACAAGGCUUCACCCAUCCAAGACUCCUAUAAAUACUGAACUCCAAUCCACAUAUCACACUCUAAGAGAACCCAACAAACACACCCAUCUCUCUUGGUUCUGCACACCCAACCGAAACCAUCCAAAAUCCCAGCCAACCCAAGUGAUUCCGAGUUGUUCUAGUGUGGUAAUCUUCAGCCAUCAAACUAGUUCAUCACCGAGCAUCGUCACAGGUUCCGUUCGACACCGUUCUCACUACCUUGGUGUCUAGUUCGAGCCAACAUUAGCCUAGUUCACGGUCCGCAAGAAGCAAGUCUCAAAUUCCCCGGAAAGCGAGUUCGAGUUCUUCAUCAUCUCGUCUUUCGAACGCAUCCUCGCUUGCUCUUGUCGGGAAUUGUUUUGGACGUUUGAUUUUGCUAGCGUACACUUCGGAACGCAAAACAGUAACUAAAGGUGGAUGUGCGCGCAGUCUUACUCAUGCUUAUGGAUGUCGUUUAUGUUCUGCUUAAAUAAAGUUGUAAACUUUUAAGACAAUGUUUUAUGCUAUCGUCGCGAUGUAGACGCUAAACUUGUGUUUUCAAAUUAUGAAUGGUUGGUAUUUGAAGUUAUUUUUAUGAGCAUGUAGUAUGUUUACUCUUCG